rnacentral:rRNA from 1 species
AGCGAACGCUGGCGGCAGGCUUAACACAUGCAAGUCGAGCGGACCUUUCGGGGUCAGCGGCGGACGGGUGAGUAACGCGUGGGAACGUGCCUUCCGGUUCGGAAUAACCCUGGGAAACUAGGGCUAAUACCGGAUACGCCCUUAUGGGGAAAGGUUUACUGCCGGAAGAUCGGCCCGCGUCUGAUUAGCUAGUUGGUGGGGUAACGGCCUACCAAGGCGACGAUCAGUAGCUGGUCUGAGAGGAUGAUCAGCCACACUGGGACUGAGACACGGCCCAGACUCCUACGGGGGGCAGCAGUGGGGAAUAUUGGACAAUGGGCGCAAGCCUGAUCCAGCCAUGCCGCGUGAGUGAUGAAGGCCUUAGGGUUGUAAAGCUCUUUUAUCCGGGACGAUAGUGACGGUACCGGAGGAAUAAGCCCCGGCUAACUUCGUG